ACAUGACUCUCGGCAAUGGAUAUCUCGGCUCUCGCAUCGAUGAAGAGCGCAGCGAAAUGCGAUACGUGGUGCGAAUUGCAGAAUCCCGUGAACCAUCGAGUCUUUGAACGCAAGUUGCGCCCGAGGCCAACCGGCCAAGGGCACGUCUGCCUGGGCGUCAAGC
rnacentral:rRNA from 2 species